CUUCUCUCUAAAACUCUCUCCCUUCUCUCUAAACUCUCUCAUUUCUCUCUAAAAUCCUCUCAUGUUUUUCUCACAAAGUUAUGUUGUCAUUUUAGGUAUUAUGAUUCAUGGUUUUCAUAUUCUCCUUUAAAAAUGUAUUACCAUUGAUGGUUUUCAUCUCCUCCUCUAAAAUGUAUUUUCUUCCAUGGUUGUUAUCUCCUCCUCCAAAAGAUGUACUUUUUCCAAGAUUUUAUUUGAGGCAUCAAGAUUAUGAAAAAUCAAACACAGUCAAAUAAAUUCCUUUGUAAUAUUUUCUCAUAAUAAAAUAUUCAUUUUUUAAUAAUUUUGGAUGCAUAAUCAAUAAAAAUUGUAUUCACUUUUAGUUUU